UACGAAGGGGGCUAGCGUUGCUCGGAAUGACUGGGCGUAAAGGGCGCGUAGGCGGCUUGCACCGUCAGAUGUGAAAUUCCUGGGCUUAACCUGGGGGCUGCAUUUGAUACGUGUGGGCUUGAGUGCGGAAGAGGGUCGUGGAAUUCCCAGUGUAGAGGUGAAAUUCGUAGAUAUUGGGAAGAACACCUGCGGCGAAGGCGGGUUGCUGGGCUGACACUGACGCUGAGGUGCGAAAGCGUGGGGAGCAAACAGG
rnacentral:rRNA from 1 species